UACAGAGGUCUCAAGCGUUGUUCGGAUUCAUUGGGUGUAAAGGGUGCGUAGGCGGCGCGGUAAGUCGGGUGUGAAAUCUCGGGGCUUAACUCCGAAACUGCAUUCGAUACUGCCGUGCUUGAGGACUGGAGAGGAGACUGGAAUUUACGGUGUAGCGGUGAAAUGCGUAGAUAUCGUAAGGAAGACCAGUGGCGAAGGCGGGUCUCUGGACAGUUCCUGACGCUGAGGCACGAAGGCCAGGGGAGCAAACGGG
rnacentral:rRNA from 1 species